AUGAACGCUGGCGGCGUGCUUAACACAUGCAAGUCGCACGAGAAGUGAAGACGGAAACCUUCGGGCGGAAGGCUUUAUUUCGAGUGGCGGACGGGUGAGUAACGCGUGGGUAACCUGCCUCAUACAGGGGGAUAACAGUUGGAAACGACUGUUAAUACCGCAUAAGACCACAGCACCGCAUGGUGCGGGGGUAAAAACUCCGGUGGUAUGAGAUGGACCCGCGUUCGAUUAGCCAGUUGGCGGGGUAACGGCCCACCAAAGCGACGAUCGAUAGCCGAUCUGAGAGGAUGACCGGCCACAUUGGGACUGAGACACGGCCCAAACUCCUACGGGAGGCAGCAGUGGGGAAUAUUGCACAAUGGGGGAAACCCUGAUGCAGCGACGCCGCGUGAGUGAAGAAGUAUUUCGGUAUGUAAAGCUCUAUCAGCAGGGAAGAAAAUGACGGUACCUGAGUAAGAAACCCCGGCUAACUACGUG
rnacentral:rRNA from 1 species